rnacentral:rRNA from 1 species
UACGUAGGGAGCAAGCGUUGUCCGGAAUCAUUGGGCGUAAAGCGCGCGUAGGUGGCCUCGUAAGUCCGCUGUGAAAGUCAAAGGCUCAACCUUUGAAAGCCGGUGGAUACUGUGAGGCUAGAGUACGGAAGAGGCGAGUGGAAUUCCUGGUGUAGCGGUGGAAUGCGCAGAUAUCAGGAGGAACACCAAUAGCGAAGGCAGCUCGCUGGGACGUUACUGACACUAAGGCGCGAAAGCGUGGGGAGCGAACAGG